CUGAGCCUGACUCGGAGGUGAUUGGAAAUGUUCAGGGUAUUGCGCUAAUGGCUGGAAUGAAUGCAUCCAGCACACAAUACAUAGAUUUUGCAUUUAAUACCGGUAAGUUUAACGGCAGCUCUCUAAGCGUAUUUUCAAGGGGAGAACCUGGGCUUGCGGUGGUCGGAGGAAGAGGACGAUUCAUGAUGACAACAGGGGUUGCACUAUUUAACCCUAUCCUUAUAAAUGCCACCACUGUCAUUAUUGAAUUAAACGUUACUGUAAUUCAUUACUAAGGUGCUAUUUACAGACGCAGUUCUCAUCGAAUGUGAAAAUUAAAAUUCUCAUACUUCAUCAUCGUACUUUAUUAUUAUAUUAGAAAUAAAGAUCCAUGGUUGAGCUAUUUGAAUAUAAAUAUUUUUCAAUUGAUGUAAAUUUUUUUGAAUAUAUAACAUAUAAUUUACAACAAUAAAAUUAAAAUUUAAACAAUAAAAUAAAUAUGUAAAAAAAAUCGAUAAAUUCGAAAUGGUACACUAAAAUAUACUGGUAUCAAUAUUUACCAGUACCAUGAUCCCUUUUUUCUUCUUUCUUGGUAUUCUUUUUGUUUGCUUUUCUGUUCACGUUUGAGGUUCGUUGUUGACCUUCACAACAAUAUCACCUCUAAGGUAUGAUCUAGCAUAUUUCUUCCUUAACACACCUUUUCAUGUUUGAGGAUAUAACAUGUCUUACUACUACUUUGUUUCUUCCUUAACACACCUUUUUAUCUGUUUCUAGAAUUACUUCUAAAUUAGCUAUUAAAAAUGAAAGACCAAAAUAUCCCACUAAUAUUAAUUUUAAUUGACUUACAUUAUUAACAAUUAAACAUGCUUCCUUUAUUAAUUAACCUUUAUUAAUGAAAUUAAGUGGAUGUUAUCAUAAACUUCCAUAUAAUAACAAUGGUUUAUUAUCCAUUUUAGGCCAUUUGCAUAAUUGCUAAUUGGGUCUUCGAACGUUUUCUAAAUUAAAAUUAAAUAACGAUUGAAGUUUUACAAUUUAAUUCUUGUACUAUAUUUAAUGAUUUUUCAGAUUUAAUUACCCAACCUACUGUUAAUAUAUUUUUCAUACUAACUUUAUAAAUACUGAUUAAUUAAAAUGAUUAACUAAAUAUAUAUAUUUGAAAUUAUUUUUAAUAUAAUAUAAAAAUUUUAUUAAAAUUUUAAUUUUAACUAUUAUACUCCUUAAAUACUUUAACCAUAAAGUUACGUACGCAAUUAAAUUUUAAUAAAAUUUGUAUAUUAUAUUAAAAAUAAUUUCAAAUAUUUUUGAAAACUAUACAACUUUGGUUUCCUAUUUAUAACUUUUUUGUGGUACAUCAAUUAUUUAAAUCCUGAUUAUUUCUCGAGAAAAUAAACAUCCGGUCAAUUGGUCACAAUAUGGGGUUCGAUCCAUUGUUUAGAUUUUAAUCAUUUGGGUAUGCAACUCUUUUUUUUAAAAAUAUCGUUGAUUGAACUUUAACUCAAUUGUUAACAUAUUAUUAUAGCAACAAUAAAGGGGACGUGGGUUUAAGCAUGCAUAUAAAUGUUUUUAUCGUCCAUUUGUGAGUGUGGGAGGUUUAUGAAUAAUUUCGGGACUGUAUAAAAAAGAUUACGUACGCAAUGUGACAAUUAUUAACUCUAUAUGCCCCGCCAAAUUCAAAAGUCCUUUUCAUAGUACAACAAGGGUAAAUGCUAAAAAUGAUUAUCUAAUUAUUACUGUUUUUCAAUUUUGGUCACCCAUGUUUAAAAAUGUUUAUCUUAGUCAUGUUACUGAAAUUUAAUAUUUUGGCCACGCCUUCGUUAAAUCACUAAUGGUGAUGUCUAUUUUAGUCACGUUACCAAAUUUUAAUAUUUUAGUCACGUUUCCGUUAAAUUACUAAUGGUGAUAUUUUUUAAUUUACAUAAUAACAAAUUUAGGCCUCAAAUAUCUAACUCGAUUGAAAAAAAUAAUUGAAUUAAUUAAUUAAUUAAUAUUUUGAAAAAUAGAAAACUAUCAUAAACAUUUGUUGGAUUAAAAUUUUUUUUAUUUUAUUAAAUGUGGAUUAAUAUAUGACGAAGGACAGUACUAGAAUGAAGUUAUUUGGUCUAAAGGGAAUUGCAGAAGAUACAAUAAUUUAUAAUGACCAACACAUCAAUAACAUGUGAAAAACACGAAAACCGACAAUGAAAAUAAAAACGCAGGGGAGGAAACAUCCAAUCUAAAAUUAAGUUAAAGCUAGCACUUGGAUCAUUUAUUUUUGUAGACAGAAUGCUCUUUAAACCAUUCUAAUUAUUUAGUGAAGAAAUUCUUAUUUAUGCAACUCUUCCUAUUUAAAAAUCAAGCAGCCAAUUAGAUCAAGUUUGUGUUGCCUGGUCAAAAUUUGUUUUGUCUUGUCAUAUUACUAGUGAGAAAUCAAGCACGUAUUACAUAAAAUGAUUUGGACAGUAAAUUGUUUUCAUGUCUGCGGCUAUUUUCAGUAUAAAUAUUUCUGUUUUCUUAAUAAAAAUCAAGCAACAAUUCUACUAGCUUUCAUCUACAUUUCGCCCAAGAAAUUAUAGUAAAGCAUAGACAAUGAGAGGAACAUUGAUGUUGAGUUGGAUUCUGAUCAUCUGCCUCUCCCUAGUAGCAGUGCAGAGCCAAUACUACUCGAAGACCCUACCAUAUCAUCCCAGGCCAGUUAAGGUCACCAAACUUCACUUCUUUAUGCACGAACAUACGGGUUACAGCAGUCCAGGUAGCCCAAGCUAACAUCACAAGCAAUAAUUCAUCAGUGCCACUUGCCACCCUAGUUGCCGUUAAUGAUCCCCUAAGGACUGGUCCUGAGCCUGACUCGAAGGUGAUUGGAAAUGUUCAGGGUAUUGCGCUUUUGUCCAAAAUGAAUGCAUCGAGCACGCAAUACAUAGAUUUUGGAUUUAAUACAAGUGAUAAGUCGUAAAAGUAACAUAAUUUUAAUCUCAUUCUUGAUGUGUUUUUGGAUGAUUUAUUAUGAAAAUUAGUGAAUUUGAUGCUUCUAAUCCUUUAAAUUCAUGUUUCUAUACUUAGGUAAGCAUAGAGGAGUGAAAGGAGCAAAAAAUUAGCUAAAAUCGGACAAAAAGAGCUGUUUUAAUGAUGCACACGGCUUGGGCAUUUCCACAUGGGUUGGGCACACGCCCGUAUGAGCCACACGGGCUGACCACACGCCCUUAUGCCAGCCCAUGUCCAUUUCGCAACCUGCUUUCCAGAUACGCGAAAAAAUCCAAUUUUUAAGCGUUUUGAGCAUUCUACUAAUCUCAUACUUUUCAAGUACAUUUUACUUUUAUGGGUCUUGGCAGUCUAUUGGUCAUGUUAUCGAAAUUUAAUAUUUUGGUCAUGCAUCCGUUAGUUCACUAGUGGUGACUAGAGGUGUGCAUGGGUCGGGCCACCCGGCUCGGCCCGAAGGCCUGCUCGAAAUGUGGGAGGGUUUAGGCAAAAAUAUAGGCUCGAAAAAUGCACUUCAGCACAAAAAUAAGACCCAUUUAAAAAAUGGGUCGGGCCUUGGGUAAGGCAUUUUUGGCCCGGGCCCGGCCCGAAUCCACUAAAUAACAAAAAAAUCUAUUUUUUUAAUAUUAUUUUUUUCCUAUUUUCCUAUUAUUUUACUAUUAUGUUGCUACUAUUUUGUUGUUAUUGUUUGGAUAUUGUAUAAAACUUAUUUUAUUGUUAAUUUUUUAUUAUUUUAAAGACAUUUGCUAAUUUUGUUAUUAUUUUAGAGGAAUUUACUUGUUAAGUUGCAUUUAUUUUAGUGUUUUUUAAGUAUACAUAUUUUUUAAAAUUUAUUUUCAAUUUGUUGAAAAAUAUUUAUUUUGAUCUUUUUAGUAUUUUUGAUGACUUAUAUAUAUUUUAAAAUUAUAUAAAAAUAAUAUAAAAAUUAAUAUGGGCGGGCUGAGUCAGGUUCAGGUUUUAACAUUUUUAUUCAGGCCGGGUUUGGGCAAAAUUUUAGGCCCAUUUUUUGGGCCGUCGCCUGGACCUAGCAAACUGGCCUAAAUUUUUAGUUGGGCCCGGCCCGGCCCGACCCAUGCACACCUCCAAUGGUGACCUUUUUUAUUGGAAUAAUAACAAAUUUAGUGCAAAUAUUUAACUGGGUUGAGAAAAUAAAUUAUUUGAGUGAAUAAAUUACAUUUAUUUUAAAUAAAUAAAAUUUGGGGAAUAAAAAAUUAUUUAUUGGUUGGUUAAAUUAUUCGAGUUGGUUUAAUGUUUAGAUAAGAGAUAUAAUUGUUUAUAAUAAAUGAGACAGACUUGAUAUGGCCAUCCCAUGUGUGAUAGGCAACAUUCAGGGUUCCCAAAGGGAGUGUGCGUUGCCCACCAAGUAACCCUAUUUGGUAGGGUUACACUUAUUUUGUAACAACCCGUAGUAGCGCCUAGGAGUUUGGUACAGCAAACCGUUAUUGUCUAUUAAGGGAAAAGAUCAGUUGAUUAACAAUUAGGGAAUGAAUUGCGAAAAGGGUAAAAGCAAGACUGCAAGAGUAGUUGGAUAGUUAUUUGACCAAAGAGUUGUGGAAAUAGUUUCCCUCCUUAAUUGAAACAGAGUCAUGCAUGUAGGACCUCUUCUGUCAUUAGGAGACCCUUACGUCGCAUACUACCCUAGUUACAUAUGAAUUAAAACUCCGCCAAUGAAGGUUUUAAACCUCCAUAAAUACCAAAGCCCCUUUAUUAGCCAAAUCUGUUGCGGAAAGGAUCGAUUCGAGAACUCCGAUAUGACUACAAGUAAAUUGACCGAAACGAAAAAUAAAGUGAACACAAGGAUUUACGUGGUUCGGCUUUAAUGCCUACGUCCACGGGCAGAGGCGAAAAGAAAUUUCACUAUAACAAGAUGAAGAUUACAAGUGUUUUACACUCAAGACACAACCCGAGAACCUCACAACUCUCAACCCCUAUAGAAAACCCGAAAGCUAAAAUCCUAGCUUUCAAAGAACAAGCUUUGCUCUCUCUUGGUUUGGGAUGAUCAAUAUGGCUAAUGAACCUCUCUAUUUAUAAGAGAGUUCAAGGACAUAAUUGUCCAAAACUUUGGCAAAGAUUUGUGGUUGAAAAUGGACACCAACAACCAUCCACUAAUCCACUACCACCAACAACCCACUACCAACAACAACAAUCCACUACCAAUUUUAAGCCAUUUCUUAACAAAUCUCCACCUUGGCUUGAAAUUUACCAAGCUGAACAUCAUAGUGAACUGGAUCACCUCUUCCAAACGCCUCUCUGGCGCUAAUCAAUCCCGAAUACCUAUCAAGUCCAAGCAAUGCUUGAACUUAUAUGCAGGGAUCACCUUAGUUAACAUAUCUGCAGGAUUCUUCUCGGUAGCAACCUUGCUGAUAACAAUGUCACCUUGCGUAACAUGUUCCCGAACAAAAUGAUAUCUGACAUCAAUGUGUUUGGUCCGUUCAUGAAACAUCUGAUUUUUAGUCAGAUGUAUGGCACUCUGGCUAUCGCAAAAUACAACAGUGAAAUCCUGUUGUAAACCCAAACUGCUUACUAGACCUUUCAUCCACAAUGCUUCUUUCACUGCUUCUGCUAACGCCAUAUAUUCCGCCUCAGUCGUAGAUAAGGCUACGGUAGACUGUAACACAGCUUUCCAACUAAUGGCUCCUCCAGAAUAAGUGAAAACAUAACCCGUCAGAGAUCUUCUUUUGUCCAGAUCUCCAGCAUAAUCAGAGUCCGCAUAGCCCGUGACACUGCUAGUGCAGUCACUCUGAUCAUAUACCAAGCAUAAAUCUGCAGAACCUCUCAAGUACCUGAGAAUCCAUUUCACGGCCUGCCAGUGUUCCUUGCCAGGACAACUCAUGUAUCUGCUGACCACACUAACUGUAUGUGAAAUGUCUGGACGAGUGCAAACCAUUGCAUACAUCACGCUUCCAACUGCACUCGAGUAUGGAAUGUGAGACAUUUGCUGCUUUUCUUCAUCAGAUUGUGGUGACAACUCUGCAGAGAGUUUGAAAUGUGGUGCCAACGGAGUACUCACAGUUUUCGCUUUAUCCAUGCCGAAGCGUUGAAGAACCUUUUCAAUGUAGUUCUUCUGCGACACACGAAGCUUGCCCGCCUUGCGAUCUCUGUGAAUAUCCAUGCCCAAAAUUUUCUUGGCAGCACCCAGAUCCUUCAUCUCGAACUCACCACUCAACUGCGACUUUAACUUGUUGAUUUCCGACAUGUUUUUGGAAGCAAUUAACAUGUCAUCAACAUACAGCAACAAAUAAAUGUGCGAACCAUCUGAGAGCUUCCGAUGAUAGACACAAGCAUCAUAGUCACAUCUUGUGUAACCAUGCUGAAUCAUGAAGCUAUCAAACCGCUUGUACCACUGCCUUGGGGAUUGUUUCAAUCCAUAUAAAGACUUCUUUAAUAGACAGACAUGGUCUUCUUUACCAGGAACUGUAAAACCCUCUGGUUGACGCAUGUAGAUUGUUUCCUCGAGCUCACCAUGCAAGAACGCCGUUUUUACGUCAAGCUGCUCAAGUUCUAGAUCAGACUUGGCCACCAUGGCAAGUAAUACACGAAUGGAAGAAUGCUUUACGACUGGGGAGAAAACUUCAUUGUAGUCAAUCCCCUCUUUCUGAGUGAAGCCUUUAGCAACCAAUCGUGCCUUGAAUCUAGUUGCUUCAACCCCUAGGAUGCCUUCCUUUUUCUUGAAGACCCAUUUGCAACCAACUAUCUUCUGGUUACUUGGCGGCUUAACCAACUCCCAAGUAUGGUUCUUGUGAAGAGAUUCUAUCUCCUCACUCAUAGCAAUUGCCCACUGUGCCGACUCAUCACACGUGACAGCCUCAUUAUAACUGGAAGGUUCUAUACCAAUGGACUCCGCCACACUGAGCGCGAAAGACACCAGAUUAGCGUAACGCGGAUUUGGUUUGAUUUGUCUCUUCGUUCUUCCAGUGGCAAUGCUAUAUGGUUUUUCUUGAGGUGACUCAUCUUCAUCGGAAUCUUGCACCUCAACUUGAUCAUCCUGGACUGAAGUACCUUCCGUAGGAAUUGGAGCGUCCACCUGACACUCCACCUGCUUCUCAACACCGUGAUCUCCCAUUCUAUCUGACUCCUCCUUUUCCCGGGAAUUUGUGGUGGAUCGAAGCAUGGAUGACUCAUCAAAAGUCACAUCUCUGCUGAUGAUGAACUUGGACGAAACCGGAUCAGGACACCACAACCUGUAUCCUUUCACCCCUUGGCCGUAUCCAAGAAAUAUGCAUUUCUUCGCCCUCGGUUUGAGUUUUCCCUCAUUUACAUGAGCAUACGCAGGGCAGCCAAACACUCUUAAACCAGAGUAAUCAGCAGGAGAACCAGACCAUACUUCCUCAGGAGUCUUCAGCUCAAUAGCUGUUGACGGAGAUCUGUUAACCAAAUAACAAGCAGUAUUAACAGCUUCAGCCCAAAAUUCUUCACCGAGCCCAGCAUUUGAUCGCAUGCAACGAGCUCGCUCCAAGAGAGUUCUAUUCAUGCGUUCUGCAACUCCAUUUUGUUGUGGUGUUCGACGAACAGUGCGGUGUCUCACUAUUCCUUCAUUUUUGCAGAACUCAUUGAAUUCACCUGAGCAAAACUCCAAGCCAUUAUCCGUCCGGAAUCGCUUGAUCUUCUUUCCUGUUUGAUUUUCGAUCAAAGCUUUAAAUUGCUUGAAGUUGAUGAGAACCUCAUACUUGUUCUUCAGAAAAUACACCCAAACCUUUCUCGAGUAAUCAUCGAUAAAGGUAAGCAGAUAUCUGUAACCACCUUUAGAAAUUGUCGGAGAAGGCCCCCAAAGGUCAGAAUGGAAGUAAUCCACUGUGCCUUUUGUCUUGUGAAUCCCAGUGCUGAACUUUACCCGAGUCUGCUUACCGAAGACGCAGUGCUCACAGAAAUUCAACUUUCCUGUACACUGCCCAGACAAUAAUCCUCGUUUGCUUAGCACCGAUAAGCCUCUCUCGCUCAUAUGCCCGAGCCGCAUAUGCCAUAACUUCGUGGUGUCAGAAUCUAGAUCAUCUGAUGAUGACACUCCCGCAACACCUGUAACCGAGGAACCAUCGAGGAAGUAAAGGCCCCGCUCCAAAUUACCACGUAUCACAGUCAAAGCACCCGAGAAUACCUUGAGAACUCCACCUUCAGCAGAGUACCGAAAGCCUUUCUUGUCCAACGUACUCAAAGAGAUCAAAUUUUUCUUCAUUUCUGGAAUGUGCCGAACAUCAGUUAGAGUUCUAACAAUACCGUCAAACAUCUUUAUACGAACUGUGCCAAUCCCCAUGACUUGACAUGCGUGGUCAUUUCCCAUUAGUACUGAACCAGAAUGCUUCUCGUAUGUUGAGAAUGCAUCUUUCGAAGUACUUAUAUGAAAUGUAGCUCCCGUAUCAAGAAUCCAUCUCCCACCAGCGUAAGAGUCGGAUACUGCAAGAACGAUCUCGGCAUCACUUGAAGAAUCUGCAUCAGCUACAUUCGCACGAUCAUUUUGUUGCUCCUGUGAUUCUGAUUUCUCCUUCCUUUUCGGACAAUCUACCUUCAUGUGCCCGUACUUCUUACAGUAGUAGCACUGUAUUCUCUUCUUGGACUGCGAUCUAGGAUGGCUUUUACUUGAACUUCCACCCUUUGCCUUGGAUCUUCCUCGAGCAACCAAGCCUUCGCCUUCAUUGUUUUCGACCACCUUACCAGUGAUUUUCUUCCUCAACUCACUGGAACUUAAGGCAUUUUUCACCUCCUCUAGAGUCAGGUCAUCACGACCGUACAUCAUUGUAUCAACAAAAUUCUCAUACGAGGGAGGCAAAGAACACAAAACAAUUAUUGCUUGGUCCUCAUCAUCGAUUUUGUUAUCGAUAUUAUUCAAAUCCAUGAUAAUGGAAUUGAAUUUAUCCAGGUGCUGGGAAACAGGUGUACCUUCCUCCAUCUUCAGGGCAUAGAGUCUUUGCUUGAGGUAGAGCCGGUUCGUCAAUGACUUCGUCAUGUACUUGCUUUCUAACCGGAGCCACAAACCGGACGCGGUUUUCUCAUCCGCUACUUCUCGUAGCACUUCAUCUCCUAGACAUAGCAGAAUAGCACUAUGUGCUCUUUCUAGCAUGUCAUCCUUUUGCUCUUCCGAAAGCGUGCUUGGUAAUUUAUCUUUACCAGACAAUGCUUUUAGCAAUCCUUGUUGAACCAGCACUGCCCGCAUCUUGAUGCGCCAUAAACUGAAACUAUUUUUCCCGGUAAAUUUCUCGACAUCAUACUUAGUCGAUGAAACACUUGUAGCCAUAAUUUGGAACCUUUGAAUGAAUGAUAAUAUUUUCUUCCUGAUGUGAAAGAUCAGACAAAGCUGCAGUCACAGGGCAAUUCAGAAAAUAUUAUCACUCCUUCAACUACGCUCUGAUACCAAUUUGUUGCGGAAAGGAUCGAUUCGAGAACUCCGAUAUGACUACAAGUAAAUUGACCGAAACGAAAAAUAAAGUGAACACAAGGAUUUACGUGGUUCGGCUUUAAUGCCUACGUCCACGGGCAGAGGCGAAAAGAAAUUUCACUAUAACAAGAUGAAGAUUACAAGUGUUUUACACUCAAGACACAACCCGAGAACCUCACAACUCUCAACCCCUAUAGAAAACCCGAAAGCUAAAAUCCUAGCUUUCAAAGAACAAGCUUUGCUCUCUCUUGGUUUGGGAUGAUCAAUAUGGCUAAUGAACCUCUCUAUUUAUAAGAGAGUUCAAGGACAUAAUUGUCCAAAACUUUGGCAAAGAUUUGUGGUUGAAAAUGGACACCAACAACCAUCCACUAAUCCACUACCACCAACAACCCACUACCAACAACAACAAUCCACUACCAAUUUUAAGCCAUUUCUUAACAAAAUCUUUAUUGAAUUCUUUCUCUCUUUUUGUUUUCUGUCGAGUUCCUGCAAAUCAGAAACCAAGUUUGUUUUCCUUAAAAGAUUCAAGGUAAGACUCUGUUUCUACAUUGCAUUAGAUAACUAGAAGUAAUUUUAGGGCCUUUAAGUAAGUUCGCAACACAAGAAACUUGGCUCGUCAAAAGACUAGUAUGUGCGAACCUAGGCUCGCUUGUGUUUAUCAAUGAGUUUUAAUGUGCUUUGACUGUUAGUUACUUCCUUAUAUUUGUGAAGUUCCGACAAGCAAAAACAAUGGAAAGACGAAGCUUAUUUAAAGCUUUCAGCUAACUGGUGAGUGUGCAGGGAUUGCCACUUGUAUGUGCAAACCAUAGUGUUAAUCAGGAGCUUAGGGCUUUAUUUUGGGAGUAAGUCUUCUCUAAUCUUUGUUUUGUGAUUGUGUUUUGUGAUUUGGGCGAGAGGCCUUGGGACAAGUUAGGAGUAAUAAGGGAAUGAUGAGUUAAGUUCCAUUUAAUGUGAUACGUUGAUGUGAUGGAAAGUGUUAGCUUAAUGCUACACUUAUGAGAUGUGUUAGACUCAUUGAGUCAAAGUAAGGUGUUAUAAGGAAAUCCGUUUAUUCAACUGAAAAGAAUAUGUGAAUAAGACUUAGUUCUCCAGAAUAUUAUGUUUUUAUGUUUUGUAUUAACUGACAGUGUGUAACUGCGAACUAGACUUCAUCGUAAAUUUGGCUAACCCAGUUCGCAAAACAGGUGAAUGUAUCUUUUCCAAAAUAGAACGUUCUACUGAUUUUGUAUCUGCAAACUAGACUUCCCAUAAUUUUGGCAAAUCUAGUUCGUAGAAUAGUAACUUCUGUAAGCUCUUGCUUAACUUAAGUCUUUGUGCGUGCUAUGACAUUUCAGAUAGGUAGCGUUGGGUGAGGGCAUGUGGCGAAGCCAAAGAUCCGGUAUAUUUCCCUGAGCUUUAAAAGUUUAAAUUAAAUAAAAAUACUAAUGUUAUGAUCUUCUUUCUUCAAAAAAAAUAUUUUCCCAUGUUUUAUUAACCCUAAAAGACUUUUAACAUUAUAAGUUGUUUUAUAUGUUAAUCCAUAGCUCACAAUCGCACCAACUUGCAGACUGAAUUUUACUUUAAACUAAAAUUUUUCCUUCAUCUGUACCAGCUUGCGUCUCUGAAGGGUUCGCGAGAACCCCUCCAAGACCGUAUAGAUCGCAGUAGAAAGUCCUCCGAGCUUUUAAAUUACUCACUGGAAGUAGUACACAAUAAAGUUUCCUAAGUGCUAAACUGAGAACUCCCAUGUGAUUAGCGAGUUCUAUUCUUAGCUUACCUGCUUUAGUGCGAAACAUUGGUAUGAAGUAACAAACUGCGAGCCUCUUAGGGCGCGAACCCUAGGAACAAAACCUUUGAGUUUUCAUCCCUUAGACCAUUGCGUGACAUCUCCGCUGCAUCUUAACACAUAAACCUAUUUACGUGUCGUGUGUUGGAGGUCCGAUUAGCACCCACCAACCUCCGAGUCAAGUUGUUCCGGUCAAAUUUGGAGUGUUACAUAUUUUUUUAUUUAAACAAUAUUAUUUUACUACCUCUUGUUCAACUAUGACUCUUAAUAUUUUUUUUUAUAAAUAGAGAUAAUGAACUAGGUCAAAGAGACAAUUUGCUAACUGUUGUUACUUUAUCAAAUUUUAAUAAGAUUUAUUAUACAAAUACGUAAUUUAAGAAUACUUAAUACAUAUGCAUUAAAAAUAAUCAAAGAUAUUGUGCUACCCUUCAAUAUUAUUAGUCACAUGAAAUAGAAUUGUAUGCAUAAAAUUAUAUAAAUGAUAUGCACACCAUUCAAACCAUAAGAAAAACGCAGGGGAGGAAACUGCCAAAUUAAAAAUUUGUUUUGAAGAAAACUUCCAAACUACAAUUAAUUUAAAGCAAAUGGAUGAUUGUACAACGCUGACCAUUCUAAUUAUUACGUCUAGUUAUUCUUAUGUUUUCAUGUAUUAUUCCUAGUUAAACAUCAAGCAGCUAAUUAGACCAAGUUUCUGUCGCGUGGUAAAGAAAAGAAUUCUUUAUAAUAUGUAAAAUGUUUUGGGCAAUCAAAUAUUUUUAUGUCUGCGGGUUUUCUCAGUAUAAAAGUUUCCUUUUUGUUAAUAAAAAUGAAGCAACAGUUCUAUAGCUUUAAUCUACAUUUCGCCCCAGAAAUUAUAGUAAAGCAAAGACAAUGAGAGGAACAUGGAUGUUGAGUUGGAUUCUGAUCAUCUGCCUCUCCCAAGUAGCAGUGCAGAGCCAAUACUACUCGAAGAGCCGACCAUAUCAUCCCAGGCCAGCUAAGGUCACCAAUCUUCACUUCUUUAUGCACGAACAUACGGGUGUUACAGCAGUCGUGGUAGCCCAAGCUAACAUCACAAGCAAUAAUUCAUCAGUGCCAUUUGCCACCCUAGUUGCCGUUAAUGAUCCCCUCAGGACUGGUCCUGAGCCUGACUCGGAGGUGAUUGGAAAUGUUCAGGGUAUUGCGCUAAUGGCUGGAAUGAAUGCAUCCAGCACACAAUACAUAGAUUUUGCAUUUAAUACCGGUAAGUUUAACGGCAGCUCUCUAAGCGUAUUUUCAAGGGGAGAACCUGGGCUUGCGGUGGUCGGAGGAAGAGGACGAUUCAUGAUGGCAACAGGGGUUGCACUAUUUAACCCUAUCCUUAUAAAUGCCACCACUGUCAUUAUUGAAUUAAACGUUACUGUAAUUCAUUACUAAGGUGCUAUUUACAGACGCAGU
rnacentral:lncRNA from 1 species